rnacentral:rRNA from 1 species
UACGAAGGGAGCUAGCGUUGUUCGGAAUCACUGGGCGUAAAGCGCACGUAGGCGGAUGUGCCAGUCAGGGGUGAAAUCCCGGAGCUCAACUUCGGAACUGCCUUUGAUACAGCACGUCUUGAGUCCGAUAGAGGUGGGUGGAAUUCCUAGUGUAGAGGUGAAAUUCGUAGAUAUUAGGAAGAACACCGGUGGCGAAGGCGGCCCACUGGAUCGGUACUGACGCUGAGGAGCGAAAGCGUGGGGAGCGAACAGG